rnacentral:tRNA from 1 species
GUAGAUAUAGUUUAAACAAACAUCAGGUUGUGAUCCUGGUAUUAGAGGUUAAAAUCCUUUUAUCCACC